GACGAAGGGGGCUAGCGUUGUUCGGAAUUACUGGCGUAAAGCGCGUGUAGGCGGUUGUUCAAGUCAGGUGUGAAAGCCUUGAGCUCAACUCAAGAAAUGCACUUGAUACUGGAUGACUAGAGGACCGGGAGAGGAUAGUGGAAUUCCCAGUGUAGUGGUGAAAUACGUAGAGAUGCGGAGGAACACCAGUGGCGAAAGCGACUUUCUGGUCCUUAACUGACGACUGAGGCGG
rnacentral:rRNA from 1 species